UGCUUGCGCGCACCUAUGCGCACACGGCGCACACUUCCAGCGCAUUGUAAUACGACAUGUCUUCCGAUAGUAGAAGCUAUUUUCGGCCGAAAACUAUGCACUAUCACUCUGGAAGCAGAGUAGCUUCAUCAUACGAACAUGAUGACGUUUUCGUACUGUCACGGAUAUGAAUACUGAGAGAAUUUAUUGAUAUUGACGAAUGGCAGUUGCAAUAUUUGACGCUGACCAUUUGGCCAUAUCUGCCAUCGUUACCGUUGGACUGCAGUUUAUUUUCUUUGUCAUCGCAGCAACAUUUCAUUUCGACAAAUUAACAGAUUUCGCUGGGGGUGCCAACUUUAUUAUACUGGCCUUAACUGUAUUUGUUUUAUCCCAGGUGGUGGUGGCACCACAUGGUUUGUUUGUGAACGAGCGGCACAGUGAUCGGCCUUGGCGGAACGGAUGACUGCUGCAUUUUCAGACACAGAAAGAAGUGCAGGCAACUUGCCUAUCAAUGGUUUUCCAAAGUAGGAGAAGUGUGCAAUAUUCAGAUAAAAGAGAUCUUGGUUGCGCACUAAAGCAUUAAAUCAUUAAAAAAUUUAAAGAUUGUGAAUUAUCGAGUGUGACAAAAAGAAAGCUCCAUGCGCCUGCUAUAUGCAGUGUGCCUCAAAUGCAUUGCGAAAGGUCCACAUUCAAAAUGUCUGUUGCAUUAUUCCGAAUCUUAAGCUCCCAGGAAGUACUUUUCCUAUAAUUCUUAUCCUUCACCCACAGUUAUUUCUUAUUUUUCUUCACAUUCCUUAGAGACCAAAAACAUACAUUCGAAAAGAGAUACAAUAUUUCUCAAAAAUGACUAUUUUGACUUUAUGCUGGGUUUGUUCACUGCUAGCUGAUUUCUUGUCUGAUUCCGCCACUGUUUCUUGAUCAAGGGAACGGAAUAAAAAGCACAUUGCUGGCAA